rnacentral:rRNA from 1 species
UACGUAGGGGGCAAGCGUUGUCCGGAAUCAUUGGGCGUAAAGAGCGUGUAGGCGGCCUGAUAAGUCGGCUGUGAAAGUCAAGGGCUCAACCCUUGAAUGCCGGCCGAUACUGUCAGGCUAGAGUCCGGAAGAGGCGAGUGGAAUUCCUGGUGUAGCGGUGAAAUGCGCAGAUAUCAGGAGGAACACCUAUGGCGAAGGCAGCUCGCUGGGACGGUACUGACGCUGAGACGCGAAAGCGUGGGGAGCAAACGGG